UACGGAGGGUGCAAACGUUGCUCGGAAUCAUUGGGCGUAAAGCGCACGUAGGCGGCCUGUCAAGUCGGAUGUGAAAUCCCUCGGCUUAACCAAGGAAGUGCAUUCGAUACUGUCAGGCUUGAGUACAGAAGAGGGUCGCGGAAUUCCCGGUGUAGAGGUGAAAUUCGUAGAUAUCGGGAGGAACAUCAGUGGCGAAGGCGGCGACCUGGGCUGAUACUGACGCUGAGGUGCGAAAGCGUGGGGAGCAAACAGG
rnacentral:rRNA from 1 species